rnacentral:rRNA from 1 species
GACGAACGCUGGCGGCGUGCUUAACACAUGCAAGUCGAACGGAAAGGCCCUGCUUUUGUGGGGUGCUCGAGUGGCGAACGGGUGAGUAACACGUGAGUAACCUGCCCUUGACUUUGGGAUAACUUCAGGAAACUGGGGCUAAUACCGGAUAGGAGCUCCUGCUGCAUGGUGGGGGUUGGUAAGUUUCGGCGGUUGGGGAUGGACUCGCGGCUUAUCAGCUUGUUGGUGGGGUAGUGGCUUACCAAGGCUUUGACGGGUAGCCGGCCUGGGAGGGUGAACGGCGACAUUGGGACUGAGGUACGGCGCAGACGCCUACGGGAGGCAGCAGUGGGGAAUAUUGCACAGUGGGCGGAAGCCUGAGGCAGCGACGCCGCGUGCGGGAUGACGGCCUUCGGGUUGUAAACCGCUUUCGCAUGUGACGAAGCGUGAGUGACGGUAAUGGGUAAAGAAGCACCGGCUAACUACGUG